CUGUCCGCUUCGCAACGGCCCCGGUGCAGCGUGUGGUGCAAUGCCGCGCUCGGUGACCGGUGUUCCGCGUAGUGGAGGGCACGCGUCACUCGGGACGCCAAGUCCCGUCCCGAUCCGCGACCCCGCGGCCUAGCGGCGGACGCGACAAAACGCGCGCGACGGGCGAGCGCGCGCCGACGAUGGCAGCGAAGACGGACGUAUACCCGCUGACCCCCGGCACGCCGUCCACAGACAUCCAUCGAUAGAGCCAAUAAAAUCGCCACUCCUCACCUCCAGGAUAUCAGCGCAAGAGACGCGGAAUCGCACGAGGCAAUCGCCUUCCCUGAACGAAGAUCAAAUUUUCUUGCUAUACAUGCGGUCGACAGGGGAGGCAACGCGCGCGAGCCCUGGACAACGGAGUACUCGGAAUUUUGAAGUACCCAAAGGUAGGCCUUAAAGUACGCGACGUAAAACUUUGCGACGUACACUUUGAUCUUAGCCCAGAGA
rnacentral:lncRNA from 1 species